UACGAAGGGUACGAGCGUUAUUCGGAGUUACUGGGCGUAAAGAGCGUGUAGGCGGCCUGUUAAGUUAGAUGUUAAAUUCCUCGGCCUAACCGGGGGCAAGCAUCUAAAACUGGCUGGCUAGAGUUCAAGAGAGAGAAGUAGAAUUCCCGGAGUAGCGGUAAAAUGCGUAGAUCUCGGGAGGAAUACCGAUGGCGAAAGCAGCUUCUUGGCUUGUAACUGACGCUGGAGCGCGAAAGCGUGGGGAGCAAACAGG
rnacentral:rRNA from 1 species